UUUUAGGACUUGCCAGGAAAAUGGUUGUCUAAAACUAAAAUCAUUCGUCCAAAGUUUAUAAAUACAUGGAGAUAAUCAGCAAUAUUGAUAAAUCAAACUUUAAAUUCUAAAUUUUGUAUAGUAUAUGUAUUUUGAGAAUGGAAAUACAUUUCUGGAUUAUUAGAAAUGGCUAGCUUUAACUUUGUGGUACUAAAGUCGUCGUUAAGAUGUAAGAUCUUAAGAUUUUAGUUAGAGGGAAAAAAAAAA
rnacentral:misc_RNA from 1 species